rnacentral:rRNA from 1 species
GGGGUAGAGUAAUGCGUGACCAACCUGCCCCAUGCUCCAGAAUAGCUCUUGGAAACGGGUGGUAAUGCUGGAUGCUCCAACUUGACGCAUGUCUUGUUGGGAAAGUGUUUAGUGGCAUGGGAUGGGGUCGCGUCCUAUCAGCUUGUAGGCGGGGUAAUGGCCCACCUAGGCUUCGACGGGUAGCCGGCCUGAGAGGGCGGACGGCCACAUUGGGACUGAGAUACGGCCCAGACUCCUACGGGAGGCAGCAGAG